UACGUAGGUGGCAAGCGUUGUCCGGAAUUAUUGGGCGUAAAGCGCGCGCAGGCGGUCUUUUAAGUCUGAUGUGAAAGCCCACGGCUCAACCGUGGUAGGUCAUUGGAAACUGGGAGACUUGAGUACAGAAGAGGAGAGUGGAAUUCCACGUGUAGCGGCGAAAUGCGUAGAUAUGUGGAGGAACACCAGUGGCGAAGGCGGCUCUCUGGUCUGUAACUGACGCUGAGGCGCGAAAGCGUGGGGAGCAAACAGG
rnacentral:rRNA from 1 species